GACGAACGCUGGCGGCGUGCUUAACACAUGCAAGUCGAACGGAAAGGCCCUGCUCUUGUGGGGUGCUCGAGUGGCGAACGGGUGAGUAACACGCGAGUAACCUGCCCCUGACUUUGGGAUAACUUCAGGAAACUGGGGCUAAUAUCGGAUAGGAGCUACUGCUGCACGGUGGGGGUUGGAAAGAUACGGCGGUUGUGGAUGGACUCGAGGCUUAUCAGCUUGUUGGUGGGGUAGUGGCUUACCAAGGCUUUGAAGGGUAGCCGGCCUGAGAGGGUGACCGGCCACAUUAGGACUGAGAUACGGCCCAGACUCGUACGGUAGGCAGCGGGGGAGAAUAUUGCACAGUGGGCGGAAGCCUGAGGCGGCAGCGCCGCGUGCGGAAUGACGUCCUUCGAGUUGUGAACCACUGUCGCCUGUGACGAGGCGGGAGUGACGGUAAUGAGUAAGAAAGCACCGGCUAACUACGUG
rnacentral:rRNA from 1 species